GACGAACGCUGGCGGCGUGCUUAACACAUGCAAGUCGAACGGAAAGGCCCUGCCUUUGUGGGGUGCUCGAGUGGCGAACGGGUGAGUAACACGUGAGUAACCUGCCCUUGACUUUGGGAUAACUUCAGGAAACUGGGGCUAAUACCGGAUAGGAGCUCCUGCUGCAUGGUGGGGGUUGGAAAGUUUCGGCGGUUGGGGAUGGACUCGCGGCUUAUCAGCUUGUUGGUGGGGUAGUGGCUUACCAAGGCUUUGACGGGUAGCCGGCCUGAGAGGGUGACCGGCCACAUUGGGACUGAGAUACGGCCCAGACUCCUACGGGAGGCAGCAGUGGGGAAUAUUGCACAAUGGGCGGAAGCCUGAUGCAGCAACGCCGCGUGCGGGAUGACGGCCUUCGGGUUGUAAACCGCUUUCGCCUGUGACGAAGCGUGAGUGACGGUAAUGGGUAGAGGAGCACCGGCUAACUACGUG
rnacentral:rRNA from 1 species